GUCCCUCCGGGAACAUUCGAUAAAAUUGGAACGACACAGAGAAGAUUAACAGUUCCUAUGCACAAGAAUGAUAUGAUGCAAAGGAAGCCUCUUGGUGUUUGU